rnacentral:rRNA from 1 species
CCUACGGGUGGCUGCAGUAAGGAAUCUUGGUCAAUGGGCGCGAGCCUGAACCAGCCAAGUAGCGUGAAGGAUGACUGCUCUACGGGUUGUAAACUUCUUUUAUAAAGGAAUAAAGUGAGGCACGUGUGCCUUUUUGUAUGUACUUUAUGAAUAAGGAUAGGCUAACUCAGCGCCAGCAGCCGCGGUAAUACAGAGGAUCCGAGCGUUAUCCGGAUUUAUUGGGUUUAAAGGGAGCGUAGAUGGGUUGUUAAGUUAGUUGUGAAAGUUUGCGGCUCAACCGUAAAAUUGCAAUUGAUACUGGCAGCCUUGAGUACAGUUGAGGUAGGCGGAAUUCGUGGUGUAGCGGUGAAAUGCGUAGAUAUAACGAAGAACACCGAUGGCGAAGGCAGCCUACUAAACUGCCACUGACAUUGAGGCUCGAAAGUGUGGGUAGCAAACAGGAUUAGAUACCCUAGUAGUC